rnacentral:rRNA from 1 species
UACGGAGGGGGCUAGCGUUGUUCGGAAUUACUGGGCGUAAAGCGCACGUAGGCGGCUUUGUAAGUUAGAGGUGAAAGCCCGGAGCUCAACUUCGGAAUUGCCUUUAAGACUGCAUCGCUUGAAUCAUGGAGAGGUCAGUGGAAUUCCGAGUGUAGAGGUGAAAUUCGUAGAUAUUCGGAAGAACACCAGUGGCGAAGGCGACUGACUGGACAUGUGUUGACGCUGAGGUGCGAAAGCGUGGGGAGCAAACAGG